rnacentral:lncRNA from 1 species
CUUACAACCAGAGUUCCAAAAAUGUAACACAAGAAACAGUAAAGGGCCCUGGACUCAAACUCCCUCUGUGCAAGUCCUGGCUGUGUUUCUUGCUACCGGCGUAAUGUGCUAUUUAAGCAGCAGUGCAUGUCUCCUCACAUUUGAAAAUAUUGAUUGGGUCUUGAAGACAGAAUAACAAGCGCCAGAACUCAAGCAUUUUGCCAGGAGUGGUGCUGCCUCAUCAGUACUUCAGAUCCAGGCAGGGAAACUGUCAGCAGAACUGCUCCAAAGUCUGCUUUGUGAAAUGCACAUAAGCGGUCUCCCAGACCCACUUUCCAUCCUUCUCCUUUCUGAGGAGGAGGUGGUUAGAAAAAAAAGAAGAAGACAACAAAAGAGUAGAUGAGAGAGAUGUGGCAAAAGAAGAGGCAGAAGAGAAGAGGCAAGAGAAGGAUUCUCCCACCCAUUGCUGUCUUUAGAGAUGCAGGCUAUGAGCCAAAAAGCACAGAUAGCUCCGGAAGCUGAGGACAAGCCACACUGCCCACACUCCCGCAACUGCCCAGAACUGAAUUUUGCCAAUUACCUGCAUAAAUCAGAAAAUGGAUGCUCACUAGAGUCUCCAGAAGGGAGCCUGGCUUGCUGACACCUAGAUUUUUGUCUUGUGAGACUGAUCAGAGGAAUUAUCCCAGCACACUUGACUUCUGAAAUUGUGAUAUAUCUAUGCCUGCAGAAACCCAUGACAUGCAGAAACUAUGAGUUAAUAAAUGAAUGUUGUUUUAAGCCAUCAAGUGU